AUUGAACGCUGGCGGCAUGCCUUACACAUGCAAGUCGAACGGUAAUAGGUCUUCGGAUGCUGACGAGUGGCGAACGGGUGAGUAAUACAUCGGAACGUGCCCGAUCGUGGGGGAUAACGGAGCGAAAGCUUUGCUAAUACCGCAUACGGUCUACGGAUGAAAGCAGGGGACCGCAAGGCCUUGCGCGGACGGAGCGGCCGAUGGCAGAUUAGGUAGUUGGUGGGAUAAAAGCUUACCAAGCCGACGAUCUGUAGCUGGUCUGAGAGGACGACCAGCCACACUGGGACUGAGACACGGCCCAGACUCCUACGGGAGGCAGCAGUGGGGAAUUUUGGACAAUGGGCGAAAGCCUGAUCCAGCCAUGCCGCGUGCAGGAUGAAGGCCUUCGGGUUGUAAACUGCUUUUGUACGGAACGAAAAGACUCUUUCUAAUAAAGAGGGUCCAUGACGGUACCGUAAGAAUAAGCACCGGCUAACUACGUG
rnacentral:rRNA from 1 species